CCGAAAGAUCGAAUGGGGAGAUUCAUCGUCAGCGAUAAUGGCACGCGCGCGGUUCGCGAUACCGCGGGCUUCGGCCUCGCGGCACGCGUCCGCGCGUAUUUUAAUGCCGUUCAUCGUCGGCGUGCACUUCUCCCCUAGUAGGACGUCGCGACCCGUUGGGUGAUCGGUCUACGGUCCGGGUCGGCGCCUGUUCUGUGUCUCGCCUCACGGCGUUGACGCGGUUCAGCCCCCGGUAACCCGACCGACGCUCCGACGGUAUUAGCAAGGUGACUGGCCGUUGAACUUGUUCACGUCCCGCCCGUCGCAAGCGCGGCAAGUUCCCGGAUGUACGGAUAUAAUGCCGUCGCCGGUGCUUGCCAGCUGUUGGCAGACGGUGUCCUGGGACUGGCUGUGGAACUAGUCAGCGACGCUACUGCUUUGGGUACUUUCAGGACCCGUCUUGAAACACGGACCAAGGAGUCUAACAUGUGCGCGAGUCAUUGGGACAUCGAAACCUAAAGGCGCAAUGAAAGUGAAGAUCGGCCUCGCGCCGAUCGAGGGAGGAUGGGCCGUCGUCUCACGAUGCGGCCUCGCACUCCCGGGGCGUCUCGUUCUCAUUGCGAGAAGAGGCGCACCCAGAGCGUACACGUUGGGACCCGAAAG
rnacentral:rRNA from 1 species